UGUGGGAGCGGGCUUGCUCGCGAAAGCGGCCUUUCAGUUAGCCCAUCGUUGACUGACACUGCGCUUUCGCGAGCAAGCCCGCUCCCACA
rnacentral:misc_RNA from 1 species